rnacentral:rRNA from 1 species
CACGUAGGGGGCGAGCGUUGUCCGGAAUCAUUGGGCGUAAAGAGCUCGUAGGCGGCUCAGUAAGUCGGGUGUGAAACCCCCAGGCUCAACCUGGGACGCCACCGAUACUGCUGUGGCUAGAGUCCAGUAGAGGAGUGUGGAAUUCCCGGUGUAGCGGUGAAAUGCGCAGAUAUCGGGAGGAACACCAACGGCGAAGGCAGCACUCUGGCUGGAACUGACGCUGAGGAGCGAAAGCGUGGUAGCAACAGG